UCAAAAACAUCCUUCUCCUCACCAUUCUUCUACUUCUUCUUCAGCUUCUCCAUCGAAACACAGCACCACCACCAUGUCGUCAAACCUAGAACCAGCAGUGAGACUUUGAGCCUGGGGCUGAAAAAAGAACAGCACAAAGGCGGUGCUCCCGAGAAGUGAGUUUGCACAUCAGAGAUGGGACCGGGAGAUGAGUAAAGUCCGGGAGGUGGUACUGGUGGUGGGUCAUGAUGUCCAUCGCUCGUCGGUGCAUAUCGUGUCGUUGUGGAAGAGAACGAAGGGCACUGGGGACUAGGGAGUGCUCUUCUACUUCCAUUCGCUUGUCAGUGCCGUCAUCUGGAUUUUAGGGGCUCAUAGAGCAUUGUAUCUUAUAAACUAGAUUUAUCGCUUCUUUGCGGAGAAUGUAGUUCACUGGAUUGCCCAGAAAAAAUUGGCGAAGUUUGUGCCAAGCUAUGGUGGGAAGAGAACCGGGAAAGAAUUCAAGCUCAGUACCUUUGAGUCAAACACAAGGGAGAAGAGGAAGGGAAGCCAAAUUAGGCCGCAAGGUAUCCAUGGUGGAGGCUUUUAAAGAAGUUUAUCAAAAGGAUGAUGGGAGUUGGAAUGAGGAGGGGGCCCAAUCAGCACAUGAGAAAUUUGUCAAAGCUCACCAAGACAUAUUGGCUUGAGAAGGCUAGGGGAUACAAAUUGAUGAUAAUAAACUAUGGUGGGACAUAUUCGGGGUUGCAAAAAAUUGAUGUUAUGGUAUGGGAAACCUUGUUGAGGAGAUAGUUUCUAAUUAUUCUCAUUUGCAAUCGCAGCGGUCUACUUUGAGAACUCAACAAUCUAUUUGCUUCUAUGCCUCCAGAGGUUAUGAGUAAGUUGGAAUUUUUAGAGAAAGCAUACGAAGAGCAGAAGCAGUAGAACCAGUACAUCCUUUCUCUAAUAGAAUCUCAAGGUAUUCAGGUAAACUUUGAGACAACUCCUCAUACUUCUCAUGCUCUUGCCAAGACUGGAGAGUCUGCUUCCCAUGCCCCUCACACUUCAGAGGACGUUGAACAGCCUCAGCCUGUCGAUAAUAUUGCAACAAAAUGAAUGUGGUGUAUUAGAUUAUUACAUUAGAUACUUGGACAAUUACAUUUUGUAUUUGUUUGUUAUAUUAGAUGUUUGAACUAUUAUAUUUUGUAAUGCAUUGUGAUUAUAGAUAUUUAUCAA